rnacentral:rRNA from 1 species
AUAACGUAGCGAAAGUUACGCUAAUACCGCAUACGAUCUAAGGAUGAAANCGGGGAUCGCAAGACCUCGCGCGAUUGGAGCGGCCGAUAUCAGAUUAGGUAGUUGGUGAGGUAAAGGCUCACCAAGCCAACGAUCUGUAGCUGGUCCUGAGAGGACGACCCAGGCCACACUGGAACUGAGACACGGUCCAGACUCCUACGGGAGGCAGCAGUGGGAAUAUUGGACAAUGGGCGCAAGCCUGAUCCAGCCAUGCCGCGUGCAGGAAUAAGGUCCUAUGGAUUGUAAACUGCUUUUAUACAGGAAGAAACACACCCUCGUGAGGGUACUUGACGGUACUGUAUGAAUAAGGACCGGCUAACUCCGUG